rnacentral:lncRNA from 1 species
GUUCUAUGAAGAGGUGAAAGAUACCAUAAGAAAAAAGGCAAUACCAGUGCCAUAAUUAAAGAAAGAGAGAAAGCCUGGCAGACAAUAGCGGACCGGCUUAAUGCGUAAGUAGUCCAAAACUGUACAAUGAAUAAACAGUGCUCCACUGGAACUGUCAUAAUUAGGCUCCAAUUGAAGGACUAAAGGAGUUACUUUAAGUCCACUAAUCAACUGUUGUACACUUUGCUUGUGUGGCAAUUAGCGGUGCAUGUUACUUAAAUGUAGAGUAUGAUUAAGUGCAAACAAUUAUCCACAAUGUGUGUCAUUUAAUCUAUUUUUAUCUAUUUUAUCUUUCUAUCCUUCAUAAAGAACAAACUUGUCUGGCCAUAAAAGGACCUGGCAGCAAGUUAAAGUUAAAUACAAGAACAUUUUGCAGGCUGCAGUUAAAAAAAAAGACCAUAGAACUGGCACAGGGGGCGGCCCACCAAGCCAGGAUAUGACCCGGCGGAGGAGCUGGCACUCCAUUUAAAUAAAGGGAGGCCAGUGAUGGAGGGAAUCCAGGGAGGGACAGUAACGGACUCUAUCCCAGCCACAGAAACUGUCCGCUUCAUACAAGUGUCUGGGAACACGCUUACACUUUUGGAGCCACCAGAAGAUGAUCCGGGGGAAGGCACAUCUGCAGCUGCAGAAUGCACUUCUGCAGAUGAGGAGACUGUGUCACUGGACUCCAGAAGGCUUGAGACUUCACAAACUGUCAGAAGGCUUUAUGCGAAGCACCUGGAGAGACAGAUAGAGCUGGCAGAUGUUAAAAUAAAACUGAAGAAGAGAAAGCUCCAAGAAAUGGAGCUGGAUCUUGAAAUUAAACGUCGGACACUCAGGAAACUGGACCUGGAAAUCCAGAAACUAGAAAGAGAAGAUCCAAGCAACCAAGGCAAAUGAGGGCUGCCAAAUAAAAAUUCAACUAGAAAACAUUGUGGUGUCCUCCGUUUUUCAUGAAUGUGAAGUAGAAUUUAAAA